GACGAACGCUGGCGGCGUGCUUAACACAUGCAAGUCGAACGGAAAGGCCCUGCUUUUGUGGGGUGCUCGAGUGGCGAACGGGUGAGUAACACGUGAGUAACCUGCCCUUGACUUUGGGAUAACUUCAGGAAACUGGGGCUAAUACCGGAUAGGAGCUCCUGCUGCAUGGUGGGGGACGGAAAGUUUCGGCGGUUGGGGAUGGACUCGCGGCUUAUCAGCUUGUUGGGGGGGGAGUGGCUUACCAAGGCGGUGACGGGUAGCCGGCCUGAGAGGGGGACCGCCCACAUUGGCACUGAGUUACGCCCCGCACUCCUCCGGGGGGCAGCGAGGGGUAAUUUUCCACAUGGGGGGGAACCCUGAUGCAUCACCCCCCCGGGCGGGAUGCCCGCCUUCGUUUUGUAACCCGCUUUCCCCUGUGACGAAGGGUGGUUACCGUAAAUGGUUAAGGAACCCCCGCCUACCUCCGU
rnacentral:rRNA from 1 species